rnacentral:snoRNA from 1 species
CUGUGAGUAUUCUUGCUGUUCUGAUUUUGUAAUAAUCAGGCAGCCUAAACAUUGGCUAUAUUAAGACCAUUCACGUGAAUCCCCAGACCUAGUUCUUCCCCUAGGUCUGGUUUUAUCAAUACUUAUGAUAAAC